rnacentral:rRNA from 1 species
AUUGAACGCUAGCGGGAUGCCUUACACAUGCAAGUCGAACGGAGUGGCGAACGGGUGAGUAAUGUAUCGGAACGUGACCAGUAGCGGGGGAUAAAUACGCGAAAGCGUAGCUAAUAACGCAUACUAUUGGAGCGGCCGAUACCGGCUUAGCUAGUUGGUAGGGUAACGGCUCCCCAAGGCGACGAACCGUAGCUGGUUUGAGAGGACGACCAGCCACACUGGUACUGAGACACGGCCAUGACGCCUACGUAAGGCAGCAGUGGGUGAUUUUGGACAAUGGGGGAAGCCCUGAUCCAGACAUCCCGCGUGUGCGAUGAAGGCCUUCGGGUUGUAAAGCACUUUUGGCAGGAAAGCGGUACCUGCAGAAUAAGCACCGGCUAACUACGUGCCAGCAGCCGCGGUAAUAC